rnacentral:rRNA from 1 species
AUACGUAGGGUGCAAGCGUUAAUCGGAAUUACUGGGCGUAAAGCGUGCGCAGGUGGUUUUGUAAGACAGUGGUGAAAUCCCCGGGCUCAACCUGGGAACUGCCAUUGUGACUGCAAGGCUGGAGUGCGGCAGAGGGGGAUGGAAUUCCGCGUGUAGCAGUGAAAUGCGUAGAUAUGCGGAGGAACACCGAUGGCGAAGGCAAUCCCCUGGGACUGCACUGACGCUCAUGCACGAAAGCGUGGGGAGCAAACAGGAUUAGAUACCCUGGUAGUCCACGCCCUAAACGAUGUCAACUGGUUGUUGGGGAUUUAUUUUCUCAGUAACGAAGCUAACGCGUGAAGUUGACCGCCUGGGGAGUACGGCCGCAAGGUUAAAACUCAAAGGAAUUGACGGGG